AUUGAAAUCAAGAGUCAGAUGUGUAGCCAGCUGAGCCACCCAGGUGCCCCAUGGGCCACUGCUUUAAGCUCAGGGUUUUAAAAGGGGCAGUGGAGCGGACAUGACUGGAUUUGGGUGUUAGAAAUGAUGCUUGAUCUGGGAAAAAGAGUGAUCAAAUAAAAAUACAAUCUGGAUUUAAUAAGGAGAGGUCCUACUGAGGAAACUUACUUUAAGGGGGAGACAGGGACUAUUAUAGUGGGAUAGGCCGCAAGAGUUUUUCUGCUACAGGGAGGAGGAAACAAAACCAGAAAGAAGGGAGUCAGGAAGUUAUGUGCAUUGGCAGCAGAGGGGUGGGGGGGGGGCGUGUGAUUGGAUGGAUCAGAGGGUGUGAGAUCAGCCUAGUCCUGGGGGAGGGUGUGUGUUGACUCAGGCUGAUGGUGUUCAGGGACCUGGGAGGAGGAGAGAAGCUUAACCAAUGUUCACUUGACAGGCAUUUUGUUCUGAUCGAUUAGUGGGGACAAGAGGUUUGGCUAAUCAUUUAUGAGCAAAGACAGGGAUCUUGGAGGGUCUGUGUCUGGCCGUGGCAUAGGGAGCCAGGGAGGGGGUGUCCGGGGGUCAUAUCUAAGUCCUAUUGAAAAGGGUGGUUCUUUACAGUAGGCUGUUUCCUGGAAUUCAUAAAGGAGAGAAGGUCUUUAACUGCCCCCUUUUUCCCAGAAUCAUGAGUCACAGAAGCUUGACGAAGUUCAACAUUAUCAGAGUCAAGGCCGCGAGCGUGGGAAACUGCACAGGAAGAGGAGAACCAGGGAACCUGAUGAGCUCUCUUCUGUCAGCCACACAGUAGGCACUUGGGACUCAACAAGGAAUUCUCCCCACUCCCUUCCCUGAUACAUUUAUACCCUGAACUAUCGAAAGUAUUCUUCAUAAGUCAAAAAUAAAACGAACCAAACAAAAAAACCUUUCAGGAAAUAGUUUUUUUAUAUCACGGUCUGUUUUCUAAUCCUUUGGCGAUUUCUUUCAACCUUUUCUUGAACCACACAUCAUAAAGUGGAGCUGGAAGGAGGCAGGAUUUGGCAAGAGCUGGAGAACCCCAUGGACCCAGAUCUGAGUCUCCUGCACACAAACGUGAAGGAUCAUGGUACACAUGUGGCUGCUGGCAUAUGCCACGAUGUUGACAACCCUGGGAACAGUGACACACACUUGGACUCCACCAUAGCUGUUCGGGGACUGAACGAGUGAUGGUCACUCUAGGAGCUCUGAACAAGACCAUCGAAGCCAAGGGUGAGAGAGUGUCUGUGAAACACACAAGUUGACAUCCAGAGAGAUUCUCGUCGUUCUCCGUCUGAGGGCCCUCCUGGCUUUUUCCUCCAGACGAGUCUUGGAAACAGACUCUAGUGAAGGCACCAUCGGACAUCCGACAUUUACCCUCCAGAACAUUGGCCGUUACGUAUGUUUCCCUAUAGAUAAAACAUUAAUGGAAGGUUCUAAACAUCAGAUUCGAUACUAGGCAUUUUCUUGUACACACGUCUACUGCUGCAGGAAUUCAAAACCCUGGGGGUGGAGUACAUAUUGUUCUUAUUUGCAGCAUAAGGCCUAACAUGCUCUGAGAUAUACACGUCGUCGUGGCCUCUACUGUCCCUGGAACAGUACGACGCUGUGGACCUCAAGGAUGAUCGAAGGUAGCUGUCAUUCACGGCCUGGGAUGGCAGCGAGUGUUUGUAAGGGUCCGAGGGGCAUCUCCCAAUGACUAAGCGUCGCUCGUCCCCAUGGCAGCGGAGGAAAGGGUUCUCGGAGGUGUGGUCCGGCAAGAGAGACUUGCUCCGUUUGCUGUCCUGCAGACCCUGGGGUAAGAGGGAGCUUUUGUUCCCCAAGAGUUUGCUUGAGGGCACGCUACAGAGACUCCCAUACAGGUUUCCCUCCAGAAGCCGUUCCCGGUCCUUGAGGCUUAUGCUCCUGGAGGGCCUGCUAAGGUCUGUCUCCCGAGGUUUGUCGAGAAUGUUGUCAUAGGAGUGCUGACGGCUGAUCCUGAGUUUGUUCUUCUGGAACUGGAGGGUGCUGUUCUGCGCCCAGUCCUGCUGGUAGACCUCCUCCUGGGCGGCCGGGCUCCCCGUCUCCUGGAGCAUCUGGUCUUCGUCGAUGUCGUACAGGUUCCCCAUCCGCAGGCAGGCGUCGCACUUGAAUGGGGACCUCACGGUGAAGUGGCCUGAGUAGGUGGGCAGGUUGGAAAGGCAGCUCCUGCAGUGGGUGGAGUUCUGUCGGUACCGCUCGCUGCCCUCGCUGUGAGGGGGACUCUUGUCUUUCAGGGUGAAGUGCUUAGAGUAGAACUUAUACUUGUCAUUGUUGGGGGGUCCGUCUUCAUUGUGCAGGGGGUUCCUGGUGGCCGGCAGCACGGGGUCCCCCUUGUGGAAGUUCUCGUCGUGGUCUGCGUAGGCGUCUGUAAACUCCACGUUCUCGGGAAGGGCCAUGUUUUCAACGAACUGGGGAGGGUCUAAGUGGAAACUGGGCUCCUUCUCACCAUCGAUGGUGUAGAUCUUGUCCCUGGGGGAGCUCGCUUUGGUUUUCAGGUAGGAGCGCUCGACCUCACUGCAGUCCUUGGGGUAUUUGGAGGCUGCUGACCUUUUGAAGUUGUCCUUGGUCUUGUGGUUCUUGUUGUUGUCUGGCUCUCUGUGGCACGUGGCCCGACUCGAAGUUUCCGAGAUGUCCGAAUGGGCCACCUCUUCUGGAAGGUAUCUAGGACUCUUUAGGGAGUGGGUCCUGUUCUCCACUGCUCCCUCGUCCCUCUGGGAGACAGGGUUCUGGCUCAGGGAGUCUUGGCGCAGUGAUUCCAUGGAUUUCUUCCAAAGCUGCCGGGGCCUGGAGUUGGCUUUGGAUUCUGUGCUCACGGCCACCUCCACCGUGUUGGGGUUGGACUCAUUGAGCGUGAGAGGGUGCUGUCCCUGGAACACAUAGUUAUUGAGGCUGUCCUUGUGCCUAUUGGCCACGAAUGUUUGCAGUUCGUUCAUGUUGUCCCCAAAAAUGGUGUCUUUACCCUGAAAGGACCUGUUGUCUGAAUAGAUCAAAUUUCCCUUAUCUGAAACCAUGUCCAUGAUGAGGGAACCUCUUUGGAUGAAGUCUCCAGCCCUUUUGGGGGAAUCCAUUCUUGAGGAGUUCAUGUUGGACAUGUCGGAGAUGUUUUUGGCUGACCGAAGGAGUUUUAACAUGUUGCUCUGGGAUCCGGUCAGGUUGAAGUCUGGAGACUUCUUCUUCUCUUCGAUGUGCACUCCAUGAAUGCAGCUGUAAAUGCCCUGUGGGAAAGAACACGAGACAUCAUCAGUGGCAGCAGGGACAGAAAAACACUGCACACCCAGGCUUUACCUGCGAAGGUGAGAUGUGUCCUUCUGGGAGGAGACUUGGAGAGAUGGCGAAAUCCAAUCUGAAUCCUGGUACUGUUUCUUAAAUGUACCAGACCAGUGGCAAAGUGCCCGGCUUCUCUGGUCUCCCUGGCUCAAGAUGAUCUGACACUUUUGCCUGCGACACUCAUACACAGAGUUUGAGAGAAGCUAUCAACUAACGGUCACGUAACCAUACAGGUCUCAGUGCCUCCACGGUGGAACCUGGGGUACUGGAUUGAUAUGUGGGUUGCUAACUCAUCUUUCCCCAUGGUUUCUCAGGAUCAUCUUUGGAGUGUGGAUACCAGGGUCAGUUAUUAAACUGGCACGGGGCCCCUGGGUUGCUCAGUCGGUUGGGUGUCUGACUUCGCCUCAGGUCAUGAUAUCACGGUUCGUGGGUUCGAGCCCCACGUUAGACUCUGUGGUGAUGGCUCAGAGCCUGGAGCCUGCU